rnacentral:rRNA from 1 species
UCUACGGGUGGCAGCAGUGAGGAAUAUUGGUCAAUGGGCGCGAGCCUGAACCAGCCAAGUAGCGUGAAGGAUGACUGCCCUACGGGUUGUAAACUUCUUUUAUAAAGGAAUAAAGUGAGGCACGUGUGCCUUUUUGUAUGUACUUUAUGAAUAAGGAUCGGCUAACUCCGUGCCAGCAGCCGCGGUAAUACGGAGGAUCCGAGCGUUAUCCGGAUUUAUUGGGUUUAACGGGAGCGUAGAUGGGUUGUUAAGUCAGUUGUGAAAGUUUGCGGCUCAACCGUAAAAUUGCAAUUGAUACUGGCAGUCGUGAGUACAGUUGAGGUAGGCGGAAUUCGUGGUGUAGCGGUGAAAUGCUUAGAUAUCACGAAGAACUCCGAUUGCGAAGGCAGCUUACUAAACUGCCACUGACAUUGAUGCUCGAAAGUGUGGGUAUCAAACAGGAUUAGAUACCCGAGUAGUC